GGAAGGAAGCCUCCGAAGGGCAUGUGCACCACUUCCUGGCCCGCCGCGCGUGCUCACUUCCCGGGCGUCAGGCGGGCUCUGCGCAUGCGGGCAGCCCACCCCGAGGGGAGCGUCGUGGGGGAGGAAGCACCCCACGCCGGAGCCGGAACCGGAACCGCGUAUACAGCCCUAGGAUGGAGGAGACACACUGCACGUGGCCUUCCGGUACCCGCCUGGGCCUCUUGCAAACGUGCUUUCCUUUCGUUCCUGCUCUAAGGCGUUCUAAUAAACUUCCACUCCUGCCCUGAAACUUGGCUCGAUCUCUUUCUGCCCUGGACCCCUCAGUUGAAUUUUUUCUUCUGAGGAGGCGAGAAGCGGGGCUGCUGCCCCCCGGGCGGAUUCGGACACCGUCCGCCCUCGCUCGCGGAUGCGGUGCGCCUGCAGCCAGUCCGCGUGCGUCCGGGCGCACCACGGCUCAGGCCUUCCCUUCUUGCGGCCGUGGGAGCUCACGGCUGUGCCUUGUGCUGGAGCCCCGUGGGCAGCACCAGAGCAGGGCUGGCACCUGCACCAAGCCCGGCCCUCUGCGCCGGAGACCGCCACCUCUCCCAGGGGCACCUGGUGAUUCGACCACGUCCUCACCCCGCGGCCUGCGUUACCCAAGGAACGAUAUUUAAUCCACGGAUAACUUGCGCUCACAGCUUUUCUUCCUCAGACUUUCUGAUGCAGCGAGUCCUCCGGAGGCACAGGCUCGGGUCACUGGACACACCAGCGGACUCGCUGCAGCCAGCUCCAGCUGCUCACGAGACCUUGCGUCCCUGACACCACCCCGUCUCGGCCAAGCCCCACGGACAAAGCAAGCUCCUUCUGCCACCGGAGGCCUGCGCCGCCGCCUGGCUUCUAGUUGUUCUUGUCUGCUUUUGUCUCCUCCGUCUUUCUCGUGGAUGUUACUCACAUUCCUUAACUCCGUUUCUAGUCUCUAAACACCAUGUAAACACGUUAUCCUUGCCGAGAAGAUUCCACGCAUAAUGAAGUGCCUUGCACUGAAUCUGCAGUUAGGAUCAAGCGGGAACAGGCAUUGCCCGGCCCUGCCCUGCUGGCCGGAGCCCUGGAAUAGUGCAGCGCCCCGAAUGGGCCUUUGCUGGCUCCAAAGGACCGAAGCCAGCGGCCGUGGGGUUCCUGCAUGCUGGGAGCGCUAACAUUUGCGAACCCGCAUCUCAGCAGUGGAAGAUUUGUGCCUGAAAGUGAAUGAACGGUCUUCCUUUCGGCCUUCUACUCGUUACCCUCUUCAGUAAGGUCUGCGAUUUGAAGAGCCAUCUCAUCUUCCACACGGCGGCUUGGCGGGUUUUGUAGAAUGACCUGAAUCUUCACCUUUUCCAGCCAAAGAACAGACAUUUCUAGAAGAGGUUAUUGAUCACAAAAAGAAAAAAAAACCCUCACCAGGAUAGUCCCCGAGGAAAAUGACCCUUUAAAGCAUUUUCAGUGCCUAAAAAAUACAAAUCUGUGGAUGCCACUUACAAUUGCAACAAAAGAUGACAGCAGCAGGGACUCAUGAACUGGGCACCCUGGCUUCCAGGUGAAGCCACUUUCUAGUCAGCGAAAGAAGAAAUGGAAGGUGAUAGCUCUCGGCACCCAGGGGGCCCCAGACACCGCCCGGGACAGGUGCGCGCUCCCCGCACAUUCAUCCUGAGAGAUGCGAGCACAGUUCUGUGGCUCUUCUGAGCAGACACCACUGAGAAUCUGAGAAACCAGAUGGCUGCCAGGCCGAACCCAGCUCCCCCUCCAUGAGAUCAGGGCGGAACCCAGACUGCCGGCCCACACCCUCCUCCCUUCUCAGGGCAUCCUCUAGAAUUCUCUGGAAUCUGUCUAUGAAUCUGAGCUGGAAACCUCCCUCCAGUGGAAGUGGAGCUAGUCCCAGGUGUGCGGGCAUGAAGCAAGGUGGUGGAGUUAAGAAUUAGGUCACCGUCUCCCAGGCAGCAGGUGGGGAGGCUGCUCUGUCCUGACUGCCAAGUGCACCCCGACUCCCAGGACUGGACAGCACCAACCGUGUUCCGAGGCUGCCCGGCUCCUGGUCUGGUGCCAGCGCCUGCCUGGGCCUUGCCCUCUGCCUGCUAGGCUGAGAUCUGACACUGCAGCCCAGCCCAGUGCCUUCAGUUCAGCUGCCCCCAUGGCCAGAGGCACCAGAGGCCCUUGUGUGACCCUGCUGCUUCAUGACCCCCAUUCAGAGAGGCUCACAGAGUGCCAGGGGCACAGCCCUCCAUGAAGUCACAGGGCCAGGGCACCGCCUGGCCUGGGUUGAGUGACCAUGAGCAGCUGGGCGGUGGGGGCUGCAGCGGAGACUCUGGCUCUGAGCAUGGCCACUGCACCCUCUCCCAGCCCGGCCACUGGAGGGGCGGCAGUGGAUACUCUUCCAUCCUGCAGCACUCCCAACACUGCACCUGCUGCCACCCAUGCUCGCUGCAGGCUAGGCGAUGGCGACAGAGCUUCCUUCCCAAGCUUCAGCCUGGGUCUGCUAACAGAGUCAGGCUUCAUCUUCAGCCUCGUGCGGAGCCUCCACCGGUUCUGCUAUGAGUUGGCCCCAAAACAAACCCUGUUGUGGGAGGAGCUGAAAACCACCAGGCUCCGUCUCACCUCUUCCUCUCUCACCCUCCAGUCCAUGCUUCUGGAGCUCUGGACCCCCCGACCCUCCCUGCCGCCCCCUUCACUUGCCCUGCUGGCUUGUUUUCAUUCUUCACGCGUCCAUGUGUCUGUCAUUUUCUCCGGGGGCUGCAUGAACUGCCCCACUUCUGGGCACAAGAACAUUCCUCAUCAGUGUACGUUUGUGUGCUUGUCUUCCCUGUGGGACUAGAAAUUCCUCUAGAAUAAGGACCAAGCAGUAUUCAUCUGUCUAUCCGGAACCCAGACCUAUGCUGAGAAGGAGCUAGGCAUCCAAUAAAUACGUGCUGGGGAGUGAAUGAGAACGCCGCCUCUGGUGGGCUAGCGGGCAUACCUUGUCUUCUUCCAACGGGUGUGCAUAAUGACCAGGAGAGGUUUCCCAGGAACAGGUCCCGGCAAAGCUUCUCGUCAUCAGCCCCUUCCUCCCGGUCAUGACAGCCCUUUUGGUCCUGUGGGCUGUCCUCUUCCCUUACCUCACCAGGAUGGAAGGUUUGUUGAGAUUUAUGCACUCUAGUUUGUAUUAUUAAACAAGACUUGUUUAUGUUUCUAGAUAGAAAAGUAUAAUUGAAGGCCAGGUGCCCGUAAUCCCAGCAUUUUGGGAGGCUGAGGCAGGCAGAUCACAAGGUCAGCGGUUUGAGACCAGCCUGACCAACAUGAUGAAACCCCAUGUCUACUAAAAAUACAAAAAUUAGCCAGGCAUGGUGGUGCACACCUGUGAUCCCAGCUACUCUGGAGGCUGAGGCAGGAGAAUCGCUUGAAUCUAGGAGAUGGAGGUUGCAGUGAGCUGAGAUCACACCACUGCACUCCAGCCUGGGUGACAGAGUAAGACUCCAUUUCCAAAAAAAAAAAAAGUAUAAUUGUUGGAUAGAUUUUUCAAGAUGCAUUUUCCUGCCCAAGGGAACCACUGGCCCAGAGGGUGUAUCACUGCCUGACAAGGUCUGUGUGCCCGCAGUGCUGGGCUAUGUCUUGCGUUCACCAGCCGGGUCCUGCUGGUGCCUCCGCCCAGGGCUCUCCCACCCGAUGCCAGUGCUGUGAAGGCUCUUGGAGCCCACCUGCCCCUUCCUCCCAGGGCACCCUAAAAGCACUCCCGCCCAGCAUAUGCUCGCACCAUGAGGGGCACACACAAGGAAGAAAUCAGUGUCUCAUUCCUCAAGAGGUGCUUUAAAGUGUGUGAAAAGCAUGCACUUGUGAGAGGAAUGGAAAGCAGCAGCACGGGAGGCCUCCGCCUCCUCCUGCCAGAGCAAUGGUGCCUGCACACACGAGCAGUUUUACAGAUGCUGGAAACAUUUCAAACAGUGCAGGUUUCGCUUGGUAAAUUACAGCACCUUCCUACGACAGAACACCAUGCAUUCAAUAGUGUGGGGAAGUGUUUUCGCUACGCGUGGAGUGGAAAAGCACGGACGUAGUAUACACACGGCAGCCACGAUUUGGAUGGAGUGAAGCAGCCGGGGACCGGCGGUGACAGUGGAGCUGCCUCCGGGAUCAUACGCUCCUGUAGUUUUCUUCUCGGGCUUUGGCGCAUUUAAAAAUUUUUUCUACAAUGAAUUUGCACCAUAUGAAAAUUAGGACAGUGACCACAUGAUGUGAGAGCCAGAGCGAGCCCACUUACCCGCCGGGCCCAGCGCCACAAGGCUCCUGCAGGGGAUCUGCAGGGCUCAGCCCAAUACAUAUUUCUGAAUAAAUACAUGUCAUCAAAGGUCGUUCUCUAAAUAUACCAACAAAAUAUGCAAAGCAAGUCUCAUCCCAAUUAACAUUUGAAGAAACUUUGAUUCGAAAACACCACCCCAGGGUUAGAGGGAGCAAAACAGAGUUUACGAGGGCCUGGCACAGAAAGGCCUUCCCUUGACUGUAAGUUUGUGGCUUCCAGGCCAUAGAAGGAAGAGUCAUCUGGAGUUGAACCCAAAGAUGACGAAAAGAGCAAAGCAUUCAUGCCUUUCCUUUUUCUUUUUUUAAUCAAUACAUAAUUGACAGGACGUAAAACACGGAGAUCUUGUAUGUUCAGGUCAGUGUGUUCUCAUGCUUGCACAGGCCCAUGCCACACACACGGCUUGAGGAAUAAAACACACUUGCCACCAUGCCAGAAAGUUCCCCUGGGCCGUUCUGAUCAAAUGCCCCUAAUUUCUGUCCUUAUGGCUUCACCUGCCUGUUCUUGGUCUUCCCACUGAUGGGGUCGCACAGCACCAUGGGUGGCACGCAAAAGGAAGAAACCGGUGCUGUCUUCUGCAUCAGACCUCUCCUCUGCCGUGAUGUUUUGAGGAGCGUCAUCCAUUGCCUGGACCGGCAUCUGUGCCCUUGCUCCUGGGUGGCCUGCCGAGUGUGGCUGCCCGGGGUGUGGCCUGCCGAGUGUGGCUGCCCGGGGUGUGGCCUGCCGAGUGUGGCUGCCCGGGGUGUGGCCUGCCGAGUGUGGAUGCCCGGGGUGUGGCCUGCCGAGUGUGGCUGCUGCACAGUGCGUUGUCCACUUCCCGUGAUUUGACGUGUGGACCACUCCCACACUAGACUGCUUUGCACGUUCCUGAACGAGCUUUUCCAGGGACAUAUAGAUUUUCAUUCCUCCCGAGGAAGUGUGAACCUAGAAGGGAAUUGCCAGGCCACAGGAAAGAUGUGUGUUAAGUAGAAACUGCAGAGUUCCCCAAAGCGGCUGUCCCACUUUGCGCUCCCCACAAUGCAUCAGUCCUAGUAACAGGCGUGAAAUGACAUUUCCUUAUAGCUGUGAUUCACAUGUCUACGGUGUCUCAGUGCCCACUCACAAGGCUCAGGUCGUCUGCUGAUUUCCCGCUGGCUGUUCAUCUUCUGUUGAGCUGCAGGGAGCGUCAUGCUGGACACAAAGCCUUCGUCCGCUGCGUCUGCUGCAGCUCUGACCUUCGGCUCUGCCAGACCAGAAGUUGUCAUUCCGGAGGGAGGAGGGCUCCCAGCCCGAGACACAAUGACUCCAUUGAACUGAAAGUUAAGGCCGCCCGGCUACUCUCAGCAACUCCUGCCUCUCAGUCAACAAGCUAAGAAGGGGCUCUACUGGCUGGGCGACAGUCCUGACUGCCAGGGGAAAUUGAGUGGCCACUCCACGCUGGAGGUGAAGAAGAGCGUCUGAAAUACAGAAAAUCCCUUAGAGUAUCUCAUGUGCUACCAUGUCUGGAGCUUAAGUUAAUGGAAAAACCACGGGAACCCAGUUCAGGUAGGGCUACUUGAUGGCCCGGAGCCUUUGGGAACGAAGCAGGUGAAGAUUCGUGUCCAACUGAGGGUCCACGGAACACAGCCUGGGUGAAGGACCAGGGCUGUUAUGGAUGCCAGCUACGAGCAUGGACCACUGACAGCUAAAAGAUAAUGGCAGAUACAGUAACCAAAUACGGAGUGUUUCUUUCUUAUUUCGUUAUGAACAUGUUUGCAUGUAUUAACCCAAUACCUUUGUUUUCUUCCUUUUCUUCUUUUUUUAAAUAACGUAACAUAAGGUGAAUUAACAACAAUUAGCUUUGCCUGACGGUAUUUCAGUUACGAGAUGUCAAGAGUGAACAUGAACCAAGAACUCGGCGCCUUUGCUGGGGAAGGAGCCAGCGUGUUGUCGGUUGUAUGAAAUUGUGCCAUUGGGCGGAGAGGUGUGACUUCUUGUUGUCUCUCUUUGGAAAUUAAGGAUGGUUAAGGAGCUGUGUGUGAGUGCCAGGCUGGUGAGGGGAGGACUGUGAUGAUUACUUUUCUGUGUCAACCUGGCGAGGCUCCCAUUCCCCACUGAUUUACUCCACAAACAGCAGGCGUUGCUGGGAAGGGAGCCAGGGCGAUUGAAGUCCGUAAUCAGCUGACUUUAAGUAAAAAAAAUUAUGACAGAUAACCUGGGAGGGCCUGGUUCUGUCAAAGGGCAUUCCAGGGACAGCAGCGGCCUCGCAGAGGAGGAAAGGCCCCGGUGGACGGCCGCUGCAGCCUGAUCAGCCUGAUGAGGCUGGUGCCUGCCGAGGAUGCCCGCCUCACCUCGCCCGCUGCCCAGGCCGGCUCUCUGUGCUAAGUCAGUACGUGCUUCCUGCUGGCCCUGUUUCUCCUGUUGAACUCUGACUGACACAGAUUUUGGCAACACAAGUGUAGAGAAAAGCAAAUGACUGAGAGCUGAGAACCCAUGACAAAAAGCAGGGGCACUGAGCUCCAUUUCACUUCAGAGAUAGACCUGGGGACCCCCGAGCAGCAAGGACGGGAGAUUUUAGCGUCAUGUGGCAGCACGAUUCUGGAGCAAUGUUUAAACAUCCCUGUUACUGAAGCCGUGGUGGUCAACAGUGCUGCACACAGACCUGAACGUGGACCUGGGCUCAACUUGGACAGAGGCACUGUCCCCAGCAGGAAGCCCUCGGUCACUGACGGCUGCUGUCAGUGCUUGCUGUCCCCCAGGGAUACCAUCUACGCUUGUUCUGCUGACAGGGCUUCUCAGACCAGGAUCUGUGACUCUCUAAAGAGCCAUGGAUGGUGGCAGAAAAACCUCCCUGGGCUCCGUAAACCACCCUCAGCUAAGCCCACAUCUUCGGAAGAGUCAGCUGAGCGGGAGCUCUGUCAAGUCAGCCCCAGCCAUGCUCCCCAGGAAGCCCCCGCGUAGCCAGCCGUUCCCAAGGCUGCUUUUACUUGAAGAGAAACUUCCAAAGCCACAAGUAUUCAGGAAUGGGUUUCCUAAAAUCCGUGGAACUUGCAGGCUUGAAUGCAGAGCAUCUGCCUCUUUCUGGGGCACGUUCCAUAUCUUUCAUCCAAUUCUCAGUUGGAACUGUGAAGUUUCCCAAGCCCCAGAAAUGAAAAAAAGAAAUGGAAGAACUAUUGUUGUUGAUUCUUAGAGGGAACACUGCUGUGCUUAUCCUUAGAGGAAACACGAUCCGCCCAGUUCCCCUCCCACAAACUCCACACCCUUCAGACUUCUGCGGUUCCCACUGUACAACCCCAAGGUUUCCAGGCAGGUUUAGCACGUCCCGGUGGCUGUGCGUUUGCAAAUCCUGUGCGUCCUGACUGCCACAUUAGGUCUCAGGCUGUUAGUCUGCAAUUAGUUUUUCUUUGGGGCAAGCGCUGUGUUAGGUGGAGACUCACUGGUGCAGGGUGGGGAGCUUACCUUUGGAAGGCUCACGUUCUCUCAACAAAUCUGAACAGACUUAUCUGACCGAUAAGAAAGUCAAAGCACAGAGGAGUUAAAUAAUCUGCCCCAGGUAGCACGAGGCCUGGGUUUCAAACCAGGUCUCCAGGAUUCCAGGGAUUAUAGGCUUUGGAGCUGAGCGAGAACAAUCCAGCCUUCUCAUUUUAGAAAUGCCAAAGGCUAUGGACCCAAACCCGCCUGCACAGGACAUCACACAGUGUGACAGAGACGAGGCUAGGACCUGAGCCCCCACCCUCCAGAGCUCUCCCCUCCCGGCCGCUCCCCAUGUGGGUAGCUCCGAGGUGGCUCCAGGCUUCGGGAGAGGAGGCACCCGCUGACUCUCUCCUUAGAUGUGGACAUGCUAAAGUGAAUUCCAGGCAUUUUUUCAAGAUCUCCGCUGACCGGCUGAAUCAGAGGGUGGGGUAGUUAGCUCUGCUUCAAGUGUCAGUGGUAGAAGGUCCUCCCUUGAUCUUCAAAGAGUCCCGGGCUUCUGGUGGCUGGCCUCCGAGAGGGGUGGGGACUAAAGCCACUGGGAUACUCAUUUUCUUCAGGGGGCGACCAGCAGUAGGAGACAUCAUCCAGUCCAAGAGGUGGCAAGGUCGUUGAGGACAAUGACCCAACUCGCCACUGAGUUUGUAAGUUAGCGCCCUGCCCCCACCAGGACACAACCGUGUCUGAGCACGGCUGUCAAAUGGCACUGUGGGAAGAUUUGGGGACCCGUCACCUAGAGCUCAGAGUUCAGGUCCCAGCUUCACCAUGAAGUGCCUGUGGCAGCCAGGACAAGCCGUUCUGCCAGCUGGGAAUUCCACCCCAGGGGUCUACUGGCUUGCCUGUAUUUUUAAAUUAUGAAAUUUCAUUUAAAAUCCAAAGUGCUGGUUUCUGCUUUAAAACAAGAAGCAGGAGCAGCUCCAGCAGCCCAGGCCUAACCCUCCUGCCUCUCUCCCGCAGCCCAGCCCCUCCCAGGCUCCACACUCAUGCCUGCUGGGCACUGGCAGGCAGAACCCGACGGACUCUCGCCCACACAUCCUCAGCCCUCCCGGCCAGAGCCGGCCUUUCACGACAGACAGGCUGGCAUCGGUCCCACACAAUGUCCAUCCCCUGCUGAAGAAAAUGUUCCCUUGGCUUUGGGGAAGCAGAGUUGCUCAGAGCAGCAAAAAAGAGCAACGCUACUUUCAGGAAAAGUAUGUGCCUCGUCUUUUCCACGUGCAACCAUAAAAAUGCCUGGUGUUCUGAAAGUCUGCAGCUACCCAUGGAGACAGAACCAGGCAUCUCCUGAAUGACACAUGCCAGGACCAUCCUUGAUGGCUUCGCAUUUCUCUACGCUUUUCCAAAGCCAAGUCACACGGCAUCUCCUUGUGGAACGGUGAUGGAGGCAAGAAUCUCAAAACGGGACCCAGACCUGCAGCCUCUGCUGGACAAGCAGCCCACCCUGGCGUUUCUGUCCCUACCUGGGACCCUGCCACUGUGGAGUGGCAAAGCGUGUGCUGUGCCAGGCCUCCAUUCUCAAAACUGGCACAGUGGGGAGCCUGGAAAGAUGACAGAGCCAUUUUAACUUGACUCUCAGAGACUCCAGGUUGUGUAGAUCGUUUUAAUAAUGGGAUUUUAUAAGACCUGUGCUCUGGGGCUUUUUUAGUGAAGAUCAAUAAUUUUUAAAUGAACCUAGAAAACUUCUAGGAUAGGUGAAAAGAGACAGCUCUCCAAGCACACUUCCCUCCUCCGCCCUUCCUUACAACCGAAUUCUGCUGCUGUUCUUCCUCCGCAAGUUGUUCUGAGAGCACAUGGUGAGAUACUUACCCACAAAGGAUCUUCAUCCUUUUUGAGACUGCCUUGCCAGCUUCCAGUCUUCAAAAGCUGAGUGUCAUAUGUUGAUUAUCUGCUGCAAACCGGGCCUACACGUACAUGGAAUCUUUGCGGAGCGGUUGCUGCCUCAGUUGGGGGGUGGAUGGGCACAGGGACUGCUGUGUUGGGCCAUUUUUUUUUUUUUUUUGAACGGACUGUAGGAAAGUACUGAUCACAGAGCAGAGGGCUGGGAGAAGGGAGACACUAGCCAGGUGCUGGUAACUGCAGACAGUUAACGUCUUCCUGCUGUGUCCAUUACUGAUGGCUGGCAAUGCAUUUUUAAAUAAAACAAAUAACGUACUUAAGACAGUGUCGGUUUGUGCCUGAUU